rnacentral:rRNA from 1 species
UGGGGAAUACUGCACAAUGGGCGCAAGCCUGAUGCAGCCAUGCCGCGUGUGUGAAGAAGGCCUUCGGGUUGUAAAGCACUUUCAGCGGGGAGGAAGGCGAUAAGGUUAAUAACCUUGUCGAUUGACGUUACCCGCAGAAGAAGCACCGGCUAACUCCGUGCCAGCAGCCGCGGUAAUACGGAGGGUGCAAGCGUUAAUCGGAAUUACUGGGCGUAAAGCGCACGCAGGCGGUCUGUCAAGUCGGAUGUGAAAUCCCCGGGCUCAACCUGGGAACUGCAUUCGAAACUGGCAGGCUAGAGUCUUGUAGAGGGGGGUAGAAUUCCAGGUGUAGCGAUGAAAUGCGUAGAGAUCUGGAGGAAUACCGGUGGCGAAGGCGGCCCCCUGGACAAAGACUGACGCUCAGGUGCGAAAGCGUGGGGAGCAAACAGG